rnacentral:rRNA from 1 species
GAUGAACGCUGGCGGCGUGCCUAACACAUGCAAGUCGAACGGAAAGGCCCUGCUUUUGUGGGGUUCCCGAGUGGCGCAGGGGGGUGUAACACGUGAGUAUCCCGCCCUUGUCUUUGGGAUAUCUUCAGGAAACCGGGGCUAAUACCGGAGAGGAUCUCUUGCUGCGUGGGGGGCGUUGGAAAGUUUCGGCUGUGGUGUAUCGACUCGCGGCUUAUCAGCUGGGUGGUGGGGUAGAGGCGUACCAAGGCGUUGACGGGUAGCCUGCAUGAGAGGAUGACCAGCCAGACUGGAACUGUGACAGGCCCCAGACGGCUACGGGAGCGAGCAGUAGGGAAUCGUGGGCAAUGGGCGGAAGAUUGAGCCAGCUAGGCCGCGUGCGGGAGGAAGGACUUCGGGUUGGAAAGCACUGCUGUUGGGGAGGAAAACGCGUACGUUUAUAACGAGGUGUGAUGACGGUAACUAAAUAAAAAGCCACGGGUAACUUCGUG